GGACGGGUGAGUAAUGUCUGGGAAACGUGCCUGAUGGAGGGGGGUAACUACUGGAAACGGUAGCUAAUACCGCAUAACGUCGCAAGACCAAAGAGGGGGACCUUCGGGCCUCUUGCCAUCGGAUGUGCCCAGAUGGGAUUAGCUAGUAGGUGGGGUAAAGGCUCACCUAGGCGACGAUCCCUAGCUGGUCUGAGAGGAUGACCAGCCACACUGGAACUGAGACACGGUCCAG
rnacentral:rRNA from 1 species